AUUGAACGCUGGCGGCAUGCCUUACACAUGCAAGUCGAACGGCAGCACGGGUGCUUGCACCUGGUGGCGAGUGGCGAACGGGUGAGUAAUACAUCGGAACGUACCUUAUCGUGGGGGAUAACGCAGCGAAAGUUGCGCUAAUACCGCAUACGCCCUGAGGGGGAAAGCGGGGGACCGUAAGGCCUCGCGCGAUUAGAGCGGCCGAUGUCUGAUUAGCUUGUUGGUGAGGUAAAAGCUCACCAAGGCGAUGAUCAGUAGCUGGUCUGAGAGGACGAUCAGCCACACUGGGACUGAGACACGGCCCAGACUCCUACGGGAGGCAGCAGUGGGGAAUUUUGGACAAUGGGGGCAACCCUGAUCCAGCAAUGCCGCGUGAGUGAAGAAGGCCUUCGGGUUGUAAAGCUCUUUUGUCAGGGAAGAAACAGCAGCUCUAACACAGUCUGCGAAUGACGGUACCUGAAGAAUAAGCACCGGCUAACUACGUG
rnacentral:rRNA from 1 species